GAAUCUGGCGGUCUUUCGGCCGUCCGAGUUGUAAUCUAGAGAAGCGUUUUCCGCGCUGGACCGUGUACAAGUCUCCUGGAAGGGAGCGUCGUAGAGGGUGAGAAUCCCGUCUUUGACACGGACUACCAGUGCUAUGUGAUGCGCUCUCGACGAGUCGAGUUGUUUGGGAAUGCAGCUCAAAAUGGGUGGUAAAUUCCAUCUAAAGCUAAAUACAGGCGAGAGACCGAUAGCGAACAAGUACCGUGAGGGAAAGAUGAAAAGAACUUUGGAAAGAGAGUUAAACAGUACGUGAAAUUGCUGAAAGGGAAACGCUUGAUGUCAGUCGCGUCGGCNGGGGAUCAACCUUGCUUCUCGCUGGGUGUACUUCCUGGUCGACGGGUCAGCAUCAGUUUCGGUCGCCGUACAAGGGCGAGGGGAACGUGGCACUCUUCGGGGUGUGUUAUAGCCUUUCGUCGCAUGC
rnacentral:rRNA from 1 species